GAGUUGUAUGAAAGGAGAGAAGGUUAGCACUCCCCUUGACCAGGACGGCAGAGGCCCUCAGGCCUGGCAGCAUGCAUAGGGUUAAGGCGUUGCCAGCUGCUUACAACAUCAUACAUUGUGAAAGAUAGCAAAACCUGCGUGUUCC
ensembl:snRNA